rnacentral:rRNA from 1 species
AUUGAACGCUGGCGGAAUGCUUUACACACGCAAGUCGAACGGCAGCACGGACUUCGGUCUGGUGGCGAGUGGCGAACGGGUGAGUAACAUAUCGGAACGUAUCCAAUAAUGGGGGAUAACUAAUCGAAAGGUUGGCUAAUACCGCAUACGCCCUACGGGGGAAAGCAGGGGAUCUUCGGACCUUGCGUUAAUGGAGCGGCUGAUAUCUGAUUAGCUAGUUGGUGAGGUAAAGGCUCACCAAGGCGACGAUCAGUAGCUGGUCUGAGAGGACGACCAGCCACACUGGAACUGAGACACGGUCCAGACUCCUACGGGAGGCAGCAGUGGGGAAUUUUGGACAAUGGGCGCAAGCCUGAUCCAGCCAUUCCGCGUGAGUGAAGAAGGCCUUCGGGUUGUAAAGCUCUUUCGCAAGGGAAGAAAACUUACUUUCUAAUAAAGAGUGAGGUUGACGGUACCUUGAUAAGAAGCACCGGCUAACUACGUGCCAGCAGCCGCCGUAA